rnacentral:rRNA from 1 species
UACGGGGGGAGCAAGCGUUGUUCGGAUUUACUGGGCGUAAAGGGCGCGUAGGCGGCCACCGCAAGUCGUCUGUGAAGUCUCCGGGCUUAACCCGGGAACUGCGUCCGAUACUGGAAGGCUUGAAUCCGGGAGAGGGAUGCGGAAUUCCAGGUGUAGCGGUGAAAUGCGUAGAUAUCUGGAGGAACACCGGUGGCGAAGGCGGCAUCCUGGACCGGCAUUGACGCUGAGGCGCGAAAGCCAGGGGAGCAAACGGG